CAAUCGAUAAAUGUUCCGGAGGAGCGACCUACGGAAAGAUCCAGAGAGAUGAAUAUUUUGUUGUAGAAACCUAUGGUUUAGAACUUUUCAAAGUACUUACCUUGAGUUGAAAACUUAAUACAAAUUCUUUCAUUUUAAUUAAGUGCACAUUUCUUGUAAUGUGUUUGAAAAGGAAUUUAAAGUGUUUCCAAAGUUUGUUAUUGAGCUAAUUAGAAAAAGGCACUUAUACUAGAUUUAUUAGGACUAUUUAUUGAUCCAAAAAUCAGAUCAACUUUAGUAUUAGACAUACUCAAAAUGGACAGGCAAAAGAAAUUUCUCUAUUUAAAAUUUAUGCCGAGGUUAUUUGAAAUUCGAAAUAUUAAAAUAAGUGGUCAAACUAUAAACAGAAUUAUUAAAGUUCUAAAAAUUACCUUUGAUGCUUGAAUAUGGUAUGAGCUCAUGAAAAUGUAUACUUGGUAUUUAAAAAUUAAUUGAACCACCUCGAUGUUGGCUCAAAUAUUUUUGAUAAAGUCAGAUAACAAAAUACAUCAAAAAAUUUUCUUCUUAUUCAGGAAGUGUUUAGACAUUAUGUACAACUUGUUUCCAGAGUUUCUCAUAUUGUCUAUGGUAUGGAAGCACAUCAAAACUAAUUGUGGAUAAAAUUCUAAUCAGAAAGCAUCAAAAGAGUUUUAUGUUUAAAUGUUUAUUUGUGUCUAAAUAAAUUUUUGUUACAAGAAUUUGAGUUUGUGUAUAAUACUAUUAAUUAUUUAAUA